rnacentral:rRNA from 2 species
GGGUUGUGAGGUUAAGCGACUAAGCGUACACGGUGGAUGCCCUGGCAGUCAGAGGCGAUGAAGGGCGUGCUAAUCUGCGAUAAGCGCCGGUAAGGUGAUAUGAACCGUUAUAACCGGCGAUACCCGAAUGGGGAAACCCAGUGUGAUUCGUCACACUAUCAUUAACUGAAUCCAUAGGUUAAUGAGGCGAACCGGGGGAACUGAAACAUCUAAGUACCCCGAGGAA